AUUGAACGCUGGCGGCAGGCCUAACACAUGCAAGUCGAGCGGAUGAAGGGAGCUUGCUCCUGGAUUCAGCGGCGGACGGGUGAGUAAUGCCUAGGAAUCUGCCUGGUAGUGGGGGAUAACGUCCGGAAACGGGCGCUAAUACCGCAUACGUCCUGAGGGAGAAAGUGGGGGAUCUUCGGACCUCACGCUAUCAGAUGAGCCUAGGUCGGAUUAGCUAGUUGGUGGGGUAAAGGCCUACCAAGGCGACGAUCCGUAACUGGUCUGAGAGGAUGAUCAGUCACACUGGAACUGGGACACGGUCCAGACUCCUACGGGAGGCAGCAGUGGGGAAUAUUGGACAAUGGGCGAAAGCCUGAUCCAGCCAUGCCGCGUGUGUGAAGAAGGUCUUCGGUUUGUAAAGCACUUUAAGUUGGGAGGAAGGGCAGUAAGUUAAUACCUUGCUGUUUUGACGGUACCAACAGAAUAAGCACCGGCUAACUUCGUG
rnacentral:rRNA from 1 species